rnacentral:rRNA from 1 species
AUUGAACGCUGGCGGCAGGCCUAACACAUGCCAGUCGAGCGGAUGAAGGGAGCUUGCUCCUGGAUUCAGCGGAGGACGGGUGAGUAAUGCCUAGGAAUCUGCCUGGUCGUGGGGGAUAACGUCCGGAAACGGGCGCUAAUACCGCAUACGUCCUGAGGGAGAAAGUGGGGGAUCUUCGGACCUCACGCUAUCAGAUGAACCUAGGUCGGAUUAGCUAGUUGGUGGGGUAAAGGCCUACCAAGGCGACGAUCCGUAACUGGUCUGAGAGGAUGAUCAGUCACACUGGAACUGAGACACGGUCCAGACUCCUACGGGAGGCAGCAGUGGGGAAUAUUGGACGAAGGGCGAAAGCCUGAUCCAGCCAUGCCGCGUGUGUGAAGAAGGUCUUCGGAUUGUAAAGCACUUUAAGUUGGGAGGAAGGGCAGUAAGUUAAUACCUUGCUGUUUUGACGUUACCAACAGAAGAAGCACCGGCUAACUUCGUG